rnacentral:rRNA from 2 species
UCGACGGUAACAUUGAUGCUUGCAUCAGAUGACGAGUGGCGCACGGGUGAGUAACGCGUAUACAAUCUACCUUUUACAGGGGGAUAGCCUUUAGAAAUGAAGAUUAAUAUCCCAUAGUAAGUAGUUUUGGCAUCAAGACAACUUUAAAGUUUCGGCGGUAAAAGAUGAGUAUGCGUUCUAUUAGUUAGUUGGUAAGGUAACGGCUUACCAAGACCACGAUAGAUAGGGGCCCUGAGAGGGGGAUCCCCCACACUGGUACUGAGACACGGACCAGACUCCUACGGGAGGCAGCAGUGAGGAAUAUUGGACAAUGGGCGCGAGCCUGAUCCAGCCAUGCCGCGUGCAGGAAGACUGCCCUAUGGGUUGUAAACUGCUUUUAUACAGGAAGAAACCUUUUCACGUGUGAAAAGCUGACGGUACUGUAAGAAUAAGGAUCGGCUAACUCCGUGCCAGCAGCCGCGGUAAUACGGAGGAUCCAAGCGUUAUCCGGAAUCAUUGGGUUUAAAGGGUCCGUAGGUGGAUAAUUAAGUCAGGGGUGAAAGUUUGCAGCUCAACUGUAAAAUUGCCUUUGAUACUGGUUAUCUUGAAUUAUUGUGAAGUGGUUAGAAUAUGUAGUGUAGCGGUGAAAUGCAUAGAUA